rnacentral:lncRNA from 1 species
GCCUCAGCCUCCCAAAGUGCUGGGAUUACAGGUGUGAGCCACCGCGCCCGGCCGACUACUGCCCAUUCUUUCUGAGAGCUUCUACCUGUGAAGUUUCAUCUGUAUAACAAGAACAGCUUUGCCCCUUAUGUUUUUUUUUCCCUCUUAUAACUUGUCUUGCCAUCUUGCAAUCCCCCAUUCUUCUGUAACCUCAAGUAUAAAAGCAUCAAGCAUCUGGCCCUUUCUUUCAGUUUUCAUAUUUUGUAUGACUCCCACGCCCAUAUGCAUAUUAAUAAAUGUGUAUGCUUUUAUCCCAUUAAUCUGUUAUCUGCCUGUUUUAUAGACUCAAAGUAUCGAAUCUUUAGGAGAAAAAUUUUUGGUGUUGUGAUCAGGAUGUAAGUCAUUUUGUUCAUUCUAGAGCCAAUGAAUGGGAUCUUGGAACAACGGAUGAAAAGCCAGCAAAGAAAGAGAGACAUACCUCCUGCUACAGCUGGGAACCAAACAGGUGAGGAGAGGUGGGUACCCCCUAAAGAGGGGGUGCUGGGAGGGUCUGGGGAAAAAGAAGCAUGAAAUGCCACAGCUACCAUUCUCUCUGCUCCCACAAAAGACUGGGUGCUCAGGCUGGGGACAGUGGUUCACACCUGUAAUCCCAGCACUCUGGGAGGCCGAGGCAGGCAGAUCACCUGAGGUCAGGAGUUUGAGAGCAA